rnacentral:rRNA from 1 species
UCAGUUGUGAAAGUUUGCGGCUCAACCGUAAAAUUGCAGUUGAUACUGGCUGUCUUGAGUACAGUAGAGGUGGGCGGAAUUCGUGGUGUAGCGGUGAAAUGCUUAGAUAUCACGAAGAACUCCGAUUGCGAAGGCAGCUCACUGGACUGCAACUGACACUGAUGCUCGAAAGUGUGGGUAUCAAACAGGAUUAGAUACCCUGGUAGUCCACACAGUAAACGAUGAAUACUCGCUGUUUGCGAUAUACAGUAAGCGGCCAAGCGAAAGCAUUAAGUAUUCCACCUGGGGAGUACGCCGGCAACGGUGAAACUCAAAGGAAUUGACGGGGGCCCGCACAAGCGGAGGAACAUGUGGUUUAAUUCGAUGAUACGCGAGGAACCUUACCCGGGCUUAAAUUGCAGAUGAAUUACGGUGAAAGCCGUAAGCCGCAAGGCAUCUGUGAAGGUGCUGCAUGGUUGUCGUCAGCUCGUGCCGUGAGGUGUCGGCUUAAG